rnacentral:rRNA from 1 species
UACGUAGGGAGCAAGCGUUGUUCGGAUUUACUGGGCGUAAAGGGCGCGUAGGCGGCGCGGUAAGUCACUUGUGAAAUCUCUGAGCUUAACUCAGAACGGCCAAGUGAUACUGCAGUGCUAGAGUGCAGAAAGGGCAAUCGGAAUUCUUGGUGUAGCGGUGAAAUGCGUAGAUAUCAAGAGGAACACCUGCGGCGAAGGCGGGUUGCUGGGCCGACACUGACGCUGAGGCGCGAAAGCCAGGGGAGCGAACGGG